rnacentral:rRNA from 1 species
CGGCGAGUGAAGCGGCAACAGCUCAAAUUUGAAAUCUGGCCCUUGGGUCCGAAUUGUAAUUUGUAGAGGAUGAUUUUGGUGCGGUACCUUCCGAGUUCCUUGGAACAGGACGCCUUAGAGGGUGAGAGCCCCGUACGGUUGGAUACCUAGCCUCUGUAAAUCUCCUUCGACGAGUCGAGUAGUUUGGGAAUGCUGCUCUAAAUGGGAGGUAAAUUUCUUCUAAAGCUAAAUACUGGCCAGAGACCGAUAGCGCACAAGUAGAGUGAUCGAAAGAUGAAAAGCACUUUGAAAAGAGGGUUAAAUAGCACGUGAAAUUGUUGAAAGGGAAGGAUUUAUGACCAGACUUUUUCUGGGCAGAUCAUCCGGUGUUCUCACCGGUGCACUUUGCCCAGUUUAGGCCAGCAUCGAUUUCCGGAGGGGGAUAAAAGCUUUAGGAAUGUGGCUCCCUCGGGAGUGUUAUAGCCUAUUGUAUAAUACCUUUCUGGGGAUCGAGGUACGCGCUUCUGCAAGGAUGCUGGCGUAAUGGUUAUCAAUCACCCGUCUUGAAACACGGACCAAGGAGUCGAACAUUUGUGCGAGUGUUUGGGUGUUAAACCCUCACGCGUAAUGAAAGUGAACGGAGGUAAGAGCCCUUACGGGUGCAUUAUCGACCGAUCCUGAAGUUUUCGGAUGGAUUUGAGUAGGAGCAUAAAUGUUCGGACCCGAAAGAUGGUGAACUAUGCGUGGAUAGGGUGAAGCCAGAGGAAACUCUGGUGGAGGCUCGCAGCGGUUCUGACGUGCAAAUCGAUCGUCAAAUCUGCGCA